UUUUUUUUUCCUGUCAGUUGAAUUUGGGAAGGAAGGAACACGCAAAAAUUUUUACCUUCUUCUUUCAAUUGGACACUAUGGACGGAAAUCCAGGAGAGCUGACCUUGCCUUCUUCCCUCUACAUACAGGAACUGCAGACACUGCAGAUAAAACAGAGCCAGAAUGCUUUGCUGCCAGCUGGACCUUUGACCCAAACCCCAGUGUGACUGUCUCCGGUGCUCACUCAACUGCAGUGCAUCAAUGAAGGAAAAAAGAACUGAGCAUUGGCAAAAAGCUGAGGAUGACAAGCUUAGGGGAUGAAAGGCUGCCUUUUCCCCCCCUUCUGAGCGUUUCUGACAGCUCCCAGCUGGGAGAAACCAACAUGACGAAAAGACAAAGAAUACUGGAGAAGAGAGAGGGUGGGCAGAGCCACAACCUCAUCCUCCCAGUGGUUCCUCUUGAGUUUGAUUUGACAAGAUGCCUUCCCACCCAGGUAACCCCGUGGGAACGUGCCAGUACCUCACCGCACGACCUCACUGAGUCCUCACAACAAAUCCAGGCUGCAGAUUUUUUUCCCCACUUGGAGAUGACAAAUUGAAAUGCAGGAAGGUUAAAGAGUUUGCCUGAGGUUGCUUAGAUAAUAAAAGAAUCUGGAUUAGAACCCAGACCUACCCAGCUAA
rnacentral:lncRNA from 1 species